CUUAUACAAAAAUCUACCAUCGGAAGGGCUAUCAUUAGCACUGUAUAUUGCCCCCCCGGAACAAAAGAAAAAACAAAGAAAUGAAAGAACACCAACAUAUAUCUACAUUUUACACAUACUCUACAAGCACUAGAGUUUCAUCAUCCUCCUCCUGGUCAGCACUCUGGCCAGCACUCCUAGCCUUUCCCAUCAGAAUAUCAAGCUACACAAAGCAGUAAUAUCAAAUAAUAUAAAACUAUACAUGAAAACCAUUUUCAGCAAUUCAUAUAUCUACAUGAAAACCAUUAUACCUGUGACAAACAUAUACAUGAAAACCAUUUUCAGCAAAGAAACUUAAGAACAAAAAUCUUGCUAUUCUAUAUUCUAUAUUGUAAUGAAAUAAUCCAGCACAGUAUAAUCAAGAUUAAAUUUCAUUUCCAAUUUUAAGUGAAUUGUUUUUGCAAAAAAAAAAAAAAACCCUCACUCACCCAAUCAUGCAUGGCAUCAGCGUUGAUAGGCUUACAAAUCAUAGGGAUCAAAUUAUAUAGGGCUUCGAGAACUAUGUCAUAUAACAUAAAAAUUUCAAAACCACAUCGGUCAUUAUAUUCAUUAAAGUUGAAUAAGAUGCAGUAUUAGAAAAUGCAUGUCAAAAUGUUUGCUGACACAGAAACAUAUACCAAAAGAUUUAUGAUAGUUUUCAUUAUGGAAAAACAUAUAAAAAAACUCGAGUGGUCAAGCACAAGGUUCACUGAAACCAUACCAAAAGAAUAUGUGUUGGCCAUGUAAACAAAGAUCAAGCAGACAUAACAUGACAGUCCAAAUUUACGUUUUACUACAU
rnacentral:lncRNA from 1 species